AGUAAACAAGCUCACAGAAUUAUGAGUUUUACUAGGAAGUCAUUUUGGACGAGGUUUCCAACUCUUCUCUUUUUUCACUGCGGUCGGGCGGGCAGCACACGCAUCCGCCACGUGUCCAUCUCAUCCCUUUCCCCCUUCUUUCUGGGUCACCGGUCAGCCCACUGGCUGCCCAUAAAAAGCCCCUCUCUCCCCCUCCACCUUUUCAUUCACAUUCCUCCCAUCAUUGCCUCUCUCUCUCUCUCUUCCCUCACUUCACUUUUUUUUUCCAUGGGAGAGAGGGAAAAGACUGCAGAGCAGAAAGCAAGCCUGGAGCUUCCUCAACUACCAGGCUUUGAUCAAGAUCAAGAAGAUGAAAGUCCGCGGCCACGCCUCGCGAAAUUGUCCUGAUUAGGCGCUAUCCUACCUGAGCUUUUUUUUUAUUUGUCAAUUUUUUUUUGACUUGUUGCCUUUUAUUUUUCUUUCUUCCUGUGUCUUCUUGACCUUGUAAGACCUUUUCUUGACCUUGUAAGACCCCGCCCGUUGCCGGGUCUUACUAAUCCCCGUUUCUUUUCGGAUGCCAUGUCAGACUCGUCUGAUGACGGACGUAUCCGCCUUCUCCCCCCUUCCCGGCCCGACUCAUCUUCUCCUUCCUUGUCUAUCCCUCCUGAGCUGUCCACACAUUACUAGAGUAAUAAAUUUAGAAUAAAAUUAACUCGAUUUUGCUUGUAAUUAAUGUAAUUCGAUACAUAUAUAUGUGUGUUUAUCGAAUAAAAAAUAUUGAUUGAACAGUGUA